rnacentral:rRNA from 1 species
AUUGAACGCUGGCGGCAUGCUUUACACAUGCAAGUCGAACGGCAGCAUGGAAGAGCUUGCUCUUCUGAUGGCGAGUGGCGAACGGGUGAGUAAAGCAUCGGAACGUACCGUGUAGUGGGGGAUAACGUAGCGAAAGUUACGCUAAUACCGCAUACGAUCUAAGGAUGAAAGCGGGGGAUCGCAAGACCUCGCGCGAUUGGAGCGGCCGAUAUCAGAUUAGGUAGUUGGUGAGGUAAAGGCUCACCAAGCCGACGAUCUGUAGCUGGUCUGAGACACGGCCCAGACUCCUACGGGAGGCAGCAGUGGGGAAUUUUGGACAAUGGGCGCAAGCCUGAUCCAGCAAUGCCGCGUGCAGGAAGAAGGCCUUCGGGUUGUAAACUGCUUUUGUUACGGAGCGAAAAGGCCCGUCUCUAAUACAGGGGUUCGAUGACGGUACCGUAAGAAUAAGCACCGGCUAACUACGUG